rnacentral:rRNA from 1 species
GACGAACGCUGGCGGCGUGCCUAAUACAUGCAAGUCGAACGCAGUGGGGACGGGUGAGUAACACGUGGGUAACCUCCCAUCAGAGGGGAUAACACUUGGAAACAGGUGCUAAACCGAUAUUGAUUGAUGAAACCGCGGUGCUGUAGCUAGUUGGUGAGGUAACGGCGCACCAAGGCCACGAUGCAUAGCCGACCUGAGAGGGUGACCGGCCACACUGGAACUGAGACACGGCCCAGACUCCUACGGGAGGCAGCAGUGGGGAAUCUUGGGCAAUGGACGAAAGCCUGACCGAGCAACGCCGCGUGAGUGAAGAAGGUUUUCGGGUUGUAAAACUCUGUUGUUAGAGAAGCGGUAUCUAACCAGAAAGCCACGGCUAACUACGUGCCAGCAGCCGCGGUAAUAC